rnacentral:piRNA from 1 species
UAGCCUUGCUUGAAACCAGCUGCUGGGA